rnacentral:lncRNA from 10 species
GGACUCGAACUCCUAAACCUCAAAUGAUCCACUCACCUCGGUCUCCCAAAGUGCUGGGAUUACAGGCGUGAGCCACCGUGCCAGCCCUUUCCUUCAUCUAAAACCUCAGCUGCGCCUGGGUAUGGUGGCUCACGCCUGUAAUCCCAGCACUUUGGAAGGCUGAGGCUGGAGGAUCACCUGAGAUCAGGAGUUUGACACCAGCCUGGUCAACGUGGCGAAACCCUGUCUCUAAUAAAAAUACAAAAAAGCUGGGCAUAGUGGUGCAUGCCUGUAGUCCCAGCUACUCAGGAGGCUGAGGCAGGAGAAUCACUUGAACCUGGGAGGCAGAGGUUGCAGUGAGCAGAGAUUGCGCCAGUGCACUUUAGCCUGGGUGACAGAGCGAGAAAAAAAAAAAAAGAUGAAAAAAAGGAAAAAAAAUGGCAAUAGGAAGCAAGGACAACAGAUGCCUUUGCCACCUCUCAGGCCUAAAGUCUGUGAGAGUAAAAAACAGUUUAGGUGGGCUGCAGGGGAAACAGUACAUAUCCUCAGAAAACAAUUAGAGAAAGAAGGGGAAGAAAAUGAUCAGAGAAGCGGAUGAGGCUACAGGGACAUUGCUGACAGAGCAGUCAGUUAAAUGGUUUACAAGCCAGGAAGGACAGGAAGUGAGGACAGAACAGGGAGUGAAGAUGGCAGGGUGAGGAGGGGCAUCUGCACAAGAAUGGCCUGGGAAAUUUGGACUUCUGGUGACUGAGAGAAAUGUGAGGUAUGAGAUGUAAAAUGGAAUUGCUGAAUUCCUAUCUUACUUCUGUUUUCUCUGCAAGGAAAACAAGCAUCAGAUUGGAAAGAGAAUACACAAUGGUCGGAUGGAACUGAAAGCCAAGACAGGCUCAGAGGGAGAUAAAAGGGGGUACCUAGCUAUCAGAGACUAGCCCAAGACUCCUUGUCUAGACAGAUUAUACCUCAGAGUACAAAGGAAACCUGCAAACAGGAUCUCAGAGCCCCUGUCACUGACACGUGUGUGAGGCAUCUAGUGAAUAAGAGAACUGAUGGAAAGUGAGGACAGACAAACAUUGUUCUAAUUUUCAAAAAAUUUGAAAGUGAUUGCCAAAAACUACAGGCUGGUGAUUUGAUGUAAAUUCAAAGCAAAAUUCUAGAGCCUGUUAUCAAAUAGCUGCUUUGUGAGCUCUAAGGGGGAGGAAACAAUAAUAGAGUUAGCAAAAGUUCAUAAAAACAAACCAUCCGUCUUAAUGUAUUUCCUUUUUUAAAAGGAUUACUAGACUGGCAGAUAACAAUAGUUAUCAUUUAUGAAAGGCCUGCAGUGUACUAGGCACUUUAUCUUGAAUCCUGACAACUACCCAGCAAGGUAGAUAUCAUUCUCCUCAUUUUAUAGAAGAAAAAACUGAAGUCCAGAGAAGUUUAACUAUUUGCCAUAGUCACAUAGUCAAGAGUAGGAGGAGACAGGUUUCUAUUACAGGUCUGUAGGACUCUAGAGUCAAUGUCCCACCCAUUCCUUCUUGCUGCCUCACACCUCUAACUUUUUGGAGUCACAUAGUCAAGUCUUUUGUGUCUCCAUGGAUAAAGAACAGAAACAUGGUCUGAAGACAGAUAUGUAACUAGCUGAACAAGAAGUGGUGAUGAAUGGACUGUUGUAAGCCAAGAGGGAAGCCUCUAUUGACAUGCUGUAGAACUCUGUCCUUGCCCCUGUUCUAGCUAACCAUUUUAUUAGUGAAACUUAAUGAUACAGAGACAGUAUAAUGCAGUUGUUAUCAAUGAAAACUCAAAAGCCUCAAGACUGCUGUGUUCAGAUCCUAGCUCUGAGGCUAAUUCUAUGACGGUGUGUAACUAUUUAACGCUCCUGUACCUUAGUUUCAUUAUCUGUUAAAUGGGGAUAACAGAAACUACCUUAAAGUGGGCCAGGCGCGGUGGCUCACGCCUGUAAUCCCAGCACUUUGGGGGGCCGAGGUGGGCGGAUCACAAGGUCAGGAGAUCAAGACCAUCCUGGCUAAAAUGGUGAAACCCUGUCUCUAUUAGAAAUACAAAAAAUUAGCCAGAUAUGGUGGUACACACCUGUAAUCCCAGCUAAUCAGGAGGCUGAGGCAGGAGAAUCACUUGAUCCUGGAAGGCGGAGGCUGCAGUGAGCUGAGGUUGUGCCACUGCACUCCAGCCUGGGUGACAGAGCGAGACUCCGUCUCAAAAAAAAAAAAAAGGAAACUACCUUAAAGUUUGAGGUAGUUUAUGGUGAUGACUGAAUUAGUUAAUAUUGUAAGGCACUUUAUAAGAGCGCCCAGCACAUCAGUCACCUCCUGAAUAUCUCUAAAAUAAAUUGAGUCCAAAAUAAACCACAAAAAAACUGGAGGAAACAAAAACAACACACAGAGAACACUACACACAUGACCCGCACAUGCAUGCAGACGUCGCUAAAAAAGCCCAGCAGCCCUCAGACUCGAAUGCACGACAGAGAUAUCCAGAGAACAAAGAAGAGCUCUCGGAAAUUGCCUUGAUAGAAAUUUAAAAAUUCCACAGAAGAGUUAAAGAUAAAAUCAAGGAAAUAUCCUAAAAAGUAGAAAAUCAAGAGAUGAAAAAUAGAAAAGAUAAUUAAUGGAAGUCUAACAUGCAAAUCAUAGAAGUUCCAGGAAGAGUGAAAAAGAGAAAAAGAAGGUAAAAAGAAAUAAUGCCAGAAAAAUGUCUACAAGAGGAUGUAUAUUUUCAGACUGAAGGUGCCUCUGAGCAGCAGACACCAAGAGUGGGAAGGGGGACUGUCGUUUAUCAAAGUCUUGCACUGCUAUCUGAUUAUUUACACUAGAUAUUUAAUAAAAAAUAAAAAAUGAAUUAGAAACAAAACAAGCAAACAAGUAUUUAGCUUUAAAUGAACAUCAAGACCCAGACCUAGACUCAGAGUAUAUACAAGGGAGAACCGGAGGAUGAAAGGUCAAGAAAGCAAUUUCUAGCAAGGAGAGUUAAAAGACCUAAUAAUAUUUAGUCAAGGAGGGGGAGGGAAACUCUAUUAUGAUGAGAUUACGCUCUGUGGUCCGUGUUUCUGAAACACAGGAUUUUGUGGAAGUUCUCAUUUGUAAAUAAAAAUUUAAAAACCUCCUAGAAUUAAAGUUGCAGAUCUUGGCUCAGUAUGAGAGAUGAUUUCUAACAAGUAGCAUUUUCAAAAUGGGGAAUGAACGCCCUUGUGAGAGCAUGAGUUCAUGAGUUGUUCAGGCAAAUGCUGGCUAACCAGUAAACAAGGUUAUGACAUUAGAAGAAAAGAAACUACAAAUCUGCCAUUUUAUAACAUACAGCCACAGGUUCAAAACACAAUCUUUGUGUUACGUUGUUUUCAAAAGUAAGUAGUUGAAAUACAUGGUAUGUCUAAAAUAUUGCUUGUACCGUCACAGUCUGUGCUGGUUUCUGGAUUCAGCUCCUGCAUACU